CGCCUACGGGAGGCAGCAGUGGGGAAUAUUGGGCAAUGGGCGCAAGCCUGACCCAGCAACGCCGCGUGAAGGAAGAAGGCUUUCGGGUUGUAAACUUCUUUUAUGAGGGACGAAACAAAUGACGGUACCUCAUGAAUAAGCCACGGCUAACUACGUGCCAGCAGCCGCGGUAAUACGUAGGUGGCAAGCGUUAUCCGGAUUUACUGGGUGUAAAGGGCGUGUAGCCGGGAAGGCAAGUCAGAUGUGAAAUCCGGAGGCUCAACCUCCGAAUUGCAUUUGAAACUGUUUUUCUUGAGUACUGGAGG
rnacentral:rRNA from 1 species